CCCUUAGAUGUCCUGGGCUGCACGCGCGCUACACUGAUGUGUCCAGUAAGCACCUAACCUCUUCCGAAAGGAACGGGUAACCUUUGCAAAGCACAUCGUGAUGGGGAUAGAUUAUUGCAAUUAUUAGUCUUGAACGAGGAAUUCCUAGUAAGCACAAGUCAUCAGCUUGUGUUGGUUACGUCCCUGCCCUUUGUACACACCGCCCGUCGCUCCUACCGAUUGAAUGUUCCGGUGAGCUCUUCGGACUGCGCGGUCUGCAGUUUCUGCGUUCCGUGCGGAAAGUUGCGCAAACCUUAACAUUUAGAGGAAGGAGAAGUCGUAACA
rnacentral:rRNA from 1 species